rnacentral:rRNA from 1 species
UACGUAGGGGGCAAGCGUUGUCCGGAAUCAUUGGGCGUAAAGCGCGUGUAGGCGGCUUCGUAAGUCCGUUGUGAAAGUCCAGGGCUCAACCCUGGAAUGCCGAUGGAUACUGCGGAGCUAGAGUCCGGAAGAGGCGAGUGGAAUUCCUGGUGUAGCGGUGAAAUGCGUAGAGAUCGGGAGGAACACCGGCGGCGAAGGCGGCUGCCUGGACCAGUCCUGACGCUGAGGCGCGAAAGCUAGGGGAGCAAACAGG